CUCAGCACCCGCCUGUCUCGGCUCUCUCUGCCUGCAUCCCGGCCGGCCGUCUUUGGCCACGUGCUGCCCUCCCCUUGGCCUGUUCAGGGAUCAGAUGCCCCGGGUGGCUUCGGGUGUCGCCGGUGGCUGCUCCCACAGGAAGGUGAAAUCGGAUCACUGCCUCUGCCCAUCUUGGCAGGAGCCACCGAGCAGAGCAUUAACCCUUCCGGGCCCCAGACUUCAGGGGCAGCAAUGACUGUCUAAGGAGCACUUCUGUGGCUGGCACCAGGCCGAGCCCUUGACAUGCAUGAGCUCACUUAAUCCUCAUGCCUGGCCUGCACCAUUGGGAAUGUCGGCCGUGUUGCAAAGCAGGAGGCGGGCUCAGGGAGGCUGAGUGACUCAUCCAGGGUCACACAGCUGGUAAGCAACGGGGCCAGGUUUGCACCUGGGUCUGCCUGACUCCCCGCUGUGUCCUCUGUCCCUCUGUUUUCUCUCCCUGCCUUUUUCCGUCGGCAUGAAGCCAGGUAGGCGGCUUCCUUAGCACGCGUUGUUCCUGGUUCAGGGGUCUUCUCCUCCUCCACCUUGCGUCUAGAGAGGAGUUCUCAUCUCAUUUGUCCUUUGAGAUGUCAGUCAUCCAAGCACAUCAAUUCGGUCUUCCCAUUGAACUUUCAGUCCUGGUUCUGCUGCCCAGUGGGCCUCAAGAUCCUGAGGCCACAGAACAGAUGGGGAGACUGAGCCCCAGAGAUGGGGAGGGGCGGGCCCCUGGCGGCCCGGUGAGUCAGCAGCAGAUUUGAAGCUGGGCCCUGGGUCUCCUGACGCCCAGGGCAGGGCUUCCUGCCCACUCUUUCCUGCCCUGUGACCUUGGGUUAUCGAUCUGUAAAAAGCCAGGUUGUAUUUGGGCUGCGUAGGCAGGUCCGGCCCGCAGGGGUGGCGCCUGGAAAUCCGGGAGCGUGGGCUACACAGUGGGGUCCUAGAGCCUGUAUCUUGCCUCCACCUUCCAUGGGCGAGACUGGGGGACACUGGGCCUGGGUGGUUUCCUCCCAUCUCUCCAGCCGGAUCCGGGCCUGAGGGUGGAAGCUGAUGCCGCAUCUGCUUGUGUCUUCCGGUCUCUAGGGGGUUUCUCUUCACCUGGAUCUUAGUGUCAUUUGUCUGUCACCUGGCCUCCACCCAAGGAGCUCCUGAAGUGGUUGUACCAAGAACUGCUGAGAGGAGGCACGAAGGCCACAACUUCCUGCCCUUCCCGUGAGAUCCUGCUCUUCCCUGCCAUCCCUGAGGAGCCGGCCAGGGGGCCAGAGCAGCCGUGGGCAGGCUGCACAGCUGCCCGUGGAAACUGAAACCUCUCCCACAUCUGUUUGUCAAACAGCCACGACGCCUCCUAAAAUAGCGGCCCUUCCCCUCCUCCACGCCCGCCUGUGUGCCGGGACAGGCAGCCGGGCACUCUCAGAGCCCCUGUGGCCUGACCUGGCCUCCGGCAGGGAUUGGGUCCCCGGGAGGGGAGGGCCGUGCCCGGAAGAGGCUUCUGCUGCCCGGCAACAUUUUGUGCAAAUGUCAUAUUUUCCGAGCUUGCUGUUUCCCCCACAAAGUAGGUGAACAGCUGUCCAGAGUCCUGAGUCAGGCGAUGGGGGGCGGGGGGUGUUGGGGAGAGGCCGGAGCUAUGUGGAGCCAGGUUUAUGUAAUAAAGGGAUCUUGCUGCGGCCAGCUGGCUGGGUCCUUCCAG